rnacentral:rRNA from 1 species
AACGCGAAGAACCUUACCUGGGCUCGAAAUGUACAGGAAUACGGUAGAAAUAUCGUCGUCCAGCAAUGGACCUGUAUAUAGGUGCUGCAUGGCUGUCGUCAGCUCGUGUCGUGAGAUGUUGGGUUAAGUCCCGCAACGAGCGCAACCCUUAUUAUCAGUUGCUACCAUUUAGUUGAGCACUCUGGUGAGACCGCCUCGGAUAACGGGGAGGAAGGCGGGGAUGACGUCAAGUCCUCAUGGCCUUUAUGUCCAGGGCUACACACGUGCUACAAUGGUCGGUACAAACCGUCGCAAACCCGCGAGGGGGAGCUAAUCGGAAAAAGCCGACCUCAGUUCGGAUUAGAGUCUGCAACUCGACUCUAUGAAGCUGGAAUCGCUAGUAAUCGCGGAUCAGAAUGCCGCGGUGAAUACGUUCCCGGGCCUUGUACACACCGUAGAGAC